rnacentral:rRNA from 1 species
CCUACGGGAGGCAGCAGUGGGGGAUAUUGCACAAUGGGGGAAACCCUGAUGCAGCGACGCCGCGUGAGUGAAGAAGUAUUUCGGUAUGUAAAGCUCUAUCAGCAGGGACGAAAAUGACGGUACCUGAGUAAGAAGCCCCGGCUAACUACGUGCCAGCAGCCGCGGUAAUACGUAGGGGGCAAGCGUUAUCCGGAUUUACUGGGUGUAAAGGGAGCGUAGACGGUUAUGCAAGUCUGGAGUGAAAGGCGGGGGCUCAACCCCCGGACUGCUCUGGAAACUGUAGAACUAGAGUGCAGGAGGGGUAA